ACCCAGCUGACGAGUCUCAAAAAGGAGGAAUGCGCGUCCUGGGU
rnacentral:hammerhead_ribozyme from 1 species